UACGGAAGGUCCGGGCGUUAUCCGGAUUUAUUGGGUUUAAAGGGAGCGUAGGCCGGAGAUUAAGCGUGUUGUGAAAUGUAGACGCUCAACGUCUGCACUGCAGCGCGAACUGGUUUCCUUGAGUACGCACAAAGUGGGCGGAAUUCGUGGUGUAGCGGUGAAAUGCUUAGAUAUCACGAAGAACUCCGAUUGCUAAGGCAGCUCACUGGAGCGCAACUGACGCUGAAGCUCGAAAGUGCGGGUAUCGAACAGG
rnacentral:rRNA from 1 species